UUGCAAUGAUGUGUGAAUUUCUUCACCUGAAUAUCAGAAUGAAGAGUGAACAUACGAGCUUUUUAACCCUGAGCUGU